ACUGUGGCUAAUGUCCAUCUAGAUGUGCGCAUUUUUAUUAGUUACAGAUUUUUGGUACCAUGAGCAGCGGGUUUCGGCGGCCGCGGUCGGCGCUGCCGUCGUGUCUAGUGCGCGCCCCUCUGACCGGCGCCAUGAGAGCGGCUUCGCCGGUGGAUCUCAUGGACAGUGCGUGCAUCAUUAACCUUCUAUAGUCCUCCGCGGCGAAUCGCAUCACAUCGCCGGCCAGAGCGCCGGCCAUCUGGCCGUUCCCCUUUGCGGUGUGGUACGCCGUCUCGGCCGAAGCUGCAAUCUCCUCCGGCGCCCGCGUUGCUGAGCGGAGUUUCGUCAUGCAGCAGCAGCGCCGGCAACUCCUAUCCAUCUACCAAAGAAAGUGGCAUUAUCUUAUCCAUUCAGUAUGCAUCUUUUCCUCUUUACUGUGCGUUUGCACGAACAGGUGCAUAUCUCCCUUUGCCUUACCAUUUCCUCUUUGUAUUAAAUAAAUUUGAGCAGCGUAUGUUUGCAUCUUGCUGUAAAGUGUACUUGAGAGACGAUGGUAGAGGAGUCAUCAAGGAAAUUGCUGGCAGAUGCAGCUACGAAAUUACUUGUUCCAGUAUUUUCUAUUAUUUGUGAAAUUGGAUUUGACUGGUAGGCUAUGUAAGAAAGAAAUUUUAUAGUAAUUGAGAAAAUGCUCUUGGUUCUUCAAUGGCUCUGUAACUUUAGAGCCACGUCCCUAAUGCAUACAUAUAUAACUGGUAUUGAUCUUGUCAAAUCAGUUGUUAGCCCUUGCUCGCAUAUUUUUGUUUACCUGUAAAUGCAGAGAGAAGUACCUUGCUGACAAAUAUAAUAUUUCAGAGAUAACCAUUUAAAACAAUUUUAAAAACCAAUUUAAAACAGAUAAGGCUGCUAUGUCUUUCCAGAAAAAAAAGGCUGCUAUGUCUGCAAUACAUUAUAUUUGGUCAUUUAAGAAUGUUUGUAUUUGUUCUUAACUUCUAAUUCUAGUUAUUAAAAAAAUAUCUAUAAUAUAUCCUUGUAAACAAUGUUUUUUGCAACCUUGUCGGAUGGACGCUCUUCAUCUGAUAUAAGUAUCCGCAAUCCGUUUCUGCUGGUAACCCUUGACAUUGCAACAUAGAGUUGGCCAUGUGUGAACACUUGCCUUUCUAAGUAGAGUCCAACCUUUUUGAGAGAUUGCCCCUGACUUUUGUUUAUUGUCAUAGCAAAGCACACUGAUAUUGGGUAUUGUCUCCUUUUCAGAAUGAAAGGCCAUUUUGAAUCACUUGGUGACAUAAUAAUUCGUGGGAUGUAAACUUUGCCACCAAUGUUAGUACCUGUUAUGACCUGGCCUUCGAUGAAACGCUUUCCUAGCUGCGUUAUUGUUAGUCUUGUCCCAUUGCAAAGUCCUGCACUUUGAUUGAUGUUCCUCAUAAGCAUUACUGGAAUUUGACUCAUGAUGUAGGUGUUAAUCUGGUCAACAGUCUCGUUCCUUGGGCACAGGAUCGCUCUUUCCUCUAGUAUCCAGUUUGCAAAUUCAGCUGUCUUUGCUUUCUCUUCUGGACUACCUUCGGAUGAAUUCAGACGCAUAUUUUCUGAUUUGUCUGAAGUCACCUCCCAAGACUACUGUCAUAGGUGCUUCAUCCCAUAUUAUCAGUGAAGUUUUCUUUAUUAGUUCCGCGAGAAAUGUUCCUUGCUUGAUGUUGCAUGUUGACUCGUUUGUGAUUUUGAGCGGAAUGUGAAAUCUUGAAUGAGAUGUUCCUCCACCCUGUAAAAGAAGUGCUGCUAUACCACUUGAAGCUACUGCUAGAACUAUUUUUCCUUCGGAUCUUAAUUUUGUCGUGACUGCUUUCCACAGAAAUGUCUUUCCAGUUCCACCAUAUCCGUCAACGAAAAUCAGUUUUCCACAACUGCUGCUAACUGAUUCUAUUAUAACAUCAAAAGCCAUCCUCUGAUCUUGAUUUAGCUUUUGUAGUAACUCUGUGUGCUCUAUUCUUAAAGAAUCUUUAUCGUAGUUUAGUUCCUCAUUUACUAAUCUAUUAUUUAU